rnacentral:lncRNA from 1 species
ACUGUAACAAAAACUCUUUUUAUUCUUCUUAAACUGAAGUGUUUUCCACCACUUAAACACUCUUUUACACGUAUGAUCUCUACCAGGUACAACGUCACCCUCUUGAUUAAUAGGCAAAAGUGUUAUUCACUGACAAAGUAGAAUCAACUGAUAUUAGAAUAUUUGUUAGGAUUAAUCUCAUUUUUUUGGAAUUGAAAUUACAACUGACACUUAAAUCAUGUUGUUUUGGGGCUUUUGAUGAACAUAUAAUUCAUAAUUUCUCAAAAAUUUUUAAACAUUAGCAGUAUUAGGCAAAAUAGCUGUGUUCUAUAUUCUGUCAAGUCUAAAACGUGCACAAAUUACAAAAUAAUGUUUAGAUUAUCUAAUUUUUUUGAUUAUU